rnacentral:rRNA from 1 species
GUCGAACGCUGGCGGCGUGCUUAACACAUGCAAGUCGAACGGAAAGGCCUCUUUCGGGGGGUACUCGAGUGGCGAACGGGUGAGUAACACGUGAGUAACCUGCCCUUGACUUUGGGAUAACUUCAGGAAACUGGGGCUAAUACCGGAUAGGAGCUCCUGCUGCAUGGUGGGGGUUGGAAAGUUUCGGCGGUUGGGGAUGGACUCGCGGCUUAUCAGCUUGUUGGUGGGGUAGUGGCUUACCAAGGCUUUGACGGGUAGCCGGCCUGAGAGGGUGACCGGCCACAUUGGGACUGAGAUACGGCCCAGACUCCUACGGGAGGCAGCAGUGGGGAAUAUUGCACAAUGGGUGGAAGCCUGAUGCAGCAACGCCGUGUGCGGGAUGACGGCCUUCGGGUUGGAAACCGCUUUCGCUCAUGACGAAGCUUUGUGUGACGGUAGUGGGUAAAGAAGCACCGGCUAACUACGUG